UGCUAAUGAGGAAGCAUGAACACGAGCGC
rnacentral:piRNA from 1 species